UACGUAGGGUGCGAGCGUUAAUCGGAAUUACUGGGCGUAAAGCGUGCGCAGGCGGUUUUGUAAGUCAGAUGUGAAAUCCCCGGGCUCAACCUGGGAACUGCGUUUGAAACUACAAGGCUAGAGUGUAGCAGAGGGGGGUAGAAUUCCACGUGUAGCAGUGAAAUGCGUAGAGAUGUGGAGGAAUACCAAUGGCGAAGGCAGCCCCCCUGGGUUAACACUGACGCUCAUGCACGAAAGCGUGGGGAGCAAACAGG
rnacentral:rRNA from 1 species